rfam:Salmo salar isolate Sally breed double haploid chromosome ssa12, whole genome shotgun sequence.
CUCCCUGUGGCUCAGUUGGUAGAGCAUGGUGUUUGCAACGCCAGGGUUGUGGGUUCAAUUCCCACGGGGGGC